UACGUAGGGCGCAAGCGUUGUCCGGAAUUAUUGGGCGUAAAGAGCUCGUAGGUGGUUUGUCGCGUCUGUCGUGAAAGCCCAUGGCUUAACUGUGGGUCUGCGGUGGAUACGGGCAGGCUGGAGGCAGGUAGGGGAGAACGGAAUUCCCGGUGUAGCGGUGAAAUGCGCAGAUAUCAGGAGGAACACCGGUGGCGAAGGCGGUUCUCUGGGCAUGUCCUGACGCUGAGGAGCGAAAGUGUGGGGGAGCGAACAGG
rnacentral:rRNA from 1 species